rnacentral:rRNA from 1 species
GUGGGGAAUCUUAGACAAUGGGGGAAACCCUGAUCUAGCCAUGCCGCGUGAGCGAUGAAGGCCUUAGGGUUGUAAAGCUCUUUCAGCUGGGAAGAUAAUGACGGUACCAGCAGAAGAAGCCCCGGCUAACUCCGUGCCAGCAGCCGCGGUAAUACGGAGGGGGCUAGCGUUGUUCGGAAUUACUGGACGUAAAGCGCGCGUAGGCGGACCAGAAAGUUGGAGGUGAAAUCCCGGGGCUCAACCUCGGAACUGCCUUCAAAACUCCCGGUCUUGAGUUCGAGAGAGGUGAGUGGAAUUCCGAGUGUAGAGGUGAAAUUCGUAGAUAUUCGGAGGAACACCAGUGGCGAAGGCGGCUCACUGGCUCGAUACUGACGCUGAGGUGCGAAAGCGUGGGGAGCAAACAGGAUUAGAUACCCUAGUAGUCC